rnacentral:lncRNA from 1 species
GAGUCUGCAUAUCCAUCUAUCCGUCCGUGAAGCAGAAAUGCUAUGAGAAUAUGGUGUUAAAAAUAAUUAGAGACCAUGUAUAAGCAGAUUCAAAAAGUUAUUAAAGUAUAUUAGCUAUAGUAUAUACCUACCACAUAUUACAGAUAAACUGUGGGAAAUAGACAAAAGAUAAAUUAACAGAAAUUUACAGUUAAUCUUUUAGAGCCUUUUUUUCAUCAAGCUAAAAUCUUGUAACUACUUCACCAUUCUUUAUCUCAUUUUCAUUUCAUGGAAAUGUACACUUGCCCACAGUAAAGCCCAGAAACUGAAAAUGGCCUCAUAAACACCUUCAACAUUCUCCUUUUACCAGCCUCCUUACAACUGCUUAACACUAAAUAGUGCAGAAAUGUAGCUUUCUAUCAAAAGUACAGUGUGCUGCCCUGCACCAUGUGGGAGACUUGAAAUUGUUCAGACCUAGGGUCCUUGGUUACUACAUUACACUGCAAGAAUAUAGUAGGUACACACAGUCGGGGGCAUGACAAAGUAUCCUUUCUGAGCUGUGAGGGUCUAGAUAAUGGAGGAACAAUGAUGGAUUUCAUGGUGAUGGAUUCAUUUGAUUUCCACUGGCCUCAUCCAGAAUCCCCAUUAGAUUACUCUUGAAGAAAGUGUACGCAUUCCUUUCCUUUUGUCAAAGUACAUUUUCUAGGCCAAAUCUUGCUUUUUAGAGUAUUUAUAAAUGGCUUCCUACAGAUAUUUUCAAGUUUCUGCAACAAAUAUGCUUGACAAACAUAACAAAACAUAUUCAAACAUAUUUAUAUCUCCAUUUCUAAAAGAGUGGAGUCCUAUCUUCCCACAUAUGAAUAUAUUAAAAAAAAAAACAAAGAACUAUUUUCAUCUUUCCAACAGAGGCAUUUAUAAAAUUUUAAGUGACCUGUGCUAUUCAUGUUAUCUUAUUUUUAACUACUUCAUAUGCUCAAGUACUUUGUCAUAUUAUUUAUUUCCGUACAUAUUCUCCAUCUGA